ACCUGGCUGGCUCAGUCAGUACGGCCUGCGACUCUCAAUCUCAGGAUUGUGAGUUCAAGCCCCAUGCCAGGUG
rnacentral:tRNA from 1 species